rnacentral:lncRNA from 1 species
GCCUGACAUUGGGAAAGGAGCUGUGUGGUCACUGAAUGGUGAGUACUGUUUCCUGCUCUUCAGAAACUGCGGAGGGGUAGGCAAGGAGCAGAGCUGGCAGUGCAACCAGUGCAUCUGACUGCCAAAUGUCUGUCUCAUAAACAUCCAGACACCUACACCAGAUACUGUCUGGACCCUGAGGAAGAUACUGGCUGAGUGCUGUAUAGUGAUCCUCAGCAGUGGUGAGACAGCUUCCAGAUGAAAGAGCCGAUGCCCAUGCAUCUAAGUCUGUGCUGAGUUCACCCUUUAGCUGCUGAAGUAGACAACUGACCUCAGAGAACCACUGGCUGUUGAAGGGACAUUUCUGGAAGCCGGUAAGCCUAAUGUUGAUUAUCAUCUGGCAAAAGAAUUGAGGAGGUGGCACUCACCAGUUUGAAAGCUCAUGCUCGUCAUCUCUGUGGGAGACUGAUGCAGGAUCUCUCAUACAACCGAGCCAAGCAGCUGGGUUCCCAGAGCAGAAGGCAGAUCGGGGUUCAGCUCCAAGACAUCCUGCUGGGAAGCAUGUUCUUUCUAGGAUAUGGCAUCCCUAAAAUCAGAAAUUGCUUUAAGGAAGUUGUGUGCUCAGAUACACCUAAGGAAAGCAGGAACCCUCAAUGGAAUUAAGUAUUCUGUGCUACUUAAUUAGUUUUUAGGUGCAGUUGUGUAUUCAAUUUAAAUGAAUCAGACUGGCAGGCUGAUAGAUUUCUUCAGAGAUGGGGGAAAGAAUUUAGAAAUACAAGAACACAUAUACAUGAAAAUGGGAAGAUAUGAAAAGUGUGUGGUUUUUAUUUUAUUUUUUUUUUAACCACCAGACAAUAUUUUUGGAGUGAGUCAAUGGAAAAAGAAUGGAAAGGGAAAAGAGGGACCUUCAGCAAUGGAAUUAAUGCUUUAAAAUUUGGAAGGAUAAGAAUAAACUGUGAAUACAAAAUAUCUUGCUG